rnacentral:lncRNA from 1 species
AUGUCUCCUCCGGGCCAGGGCGAUCUCAGGCCGCCCCGUCCUGGCCCCAAAGCUCCGAUGAUGCUCCUGGAGCUGGGACUCGUCCCAGAGGCAGUUUCCUCAGUCUUCCCGGCUUCUGAAGGCUCCCAGGGCGCCCUGGGGCCCCAGAGCCCGGCUCUGACCCUGCCCAGGGGGAAGGGACUAAGGCUCAGGCGCUCUGCCCCCGGGAGUCCCAGUGUAAGCCCAGGCCCUGCGUCCUGCGGGUGGCCGGGGGAGAGCCGGGGUCUUUGCCAGGUGAAGCGCAGAGGAGGGCUCCGGGGCUCCAUCGGGACUCGCUUCUCCCGACUCCGGACAGAAGCCAGGAUGGGGCCGCGCCGUCUCCCUCCGCAGCUGCCCCUGGGGAGCGCCCGAGGACGGGCAAGUGGCAGCGGGCCUCCUGGACAGGGCACGGCUUGGAGCACCCGAGGGCUCCUCCUUAGAAGCACCUCGCAGCGCUGCCCGCAGUGGCUCUGCCGGCACUCGUCUCUUUACGAGCACGUGGCGGCCCUCCUUUUCAACUCACACCCCCGCCAAGGUGCCCCCCGGUGCUCCCCAGGUUCAUCUGCAAGAAGGGAAGCGCCAUGCAGCCCGCUGACCUCCGAGGGGCUCCGCAGCCCCCCUGUAUCCUCGGGGAGAGAUAUGGAGACAGGCAGCAGCCAGAAGGGGGACGGAUGGAUGGAGGGCAGGCAGGCAGGCAGCCGGCCAGAUGCGCAGGAAGGCAGACAGACGGACAGACAGAUGCGCAGGAAGGCAGACAGAUGCGCAGGAAGGCAGACAGAUGCACAGGAAGGGGGACAGACAGAUGCGCAGGAAGGCAGACAGAUGGACAGACAGAUGCACAGGAAGGCAGACAGAUGCGCAGGAAGGCAGACAGAUGGACAGACAGAUGCACAGGAAGGGGGACAGACAGAUGCGCAGGAAGGCAGACAGAUGCGCAGGAAGGCAGACAGAUGGACAGACAGAUGCACAGGAAGGCAGACAGAUGCGCAGGAAGGCAGACAGAUGGACAGACAGAUGCACAGGAAGGGGGACAGACAGAUGCGCAGGAAGGCAGACAGAUGCGCAGGAAGGCAGACAGAUGGACAGACAGAUGCGCAGGAAGGCAGACAGAUGGACAGACAGAUGCACAGGAAGGCAGACAGAUGGACAGACAGAUGCGCAGGAAGGCAGAUGGACAGACAGAUGCACAGGAAGGGGGACAAACAGAUGUGCAGGAAGGCAGACAGACAGACAGAUGCGCAGGACAGAUGGGGGGACAGACCUCUCGCCCCCUACAGGCAGGGGCUAUUCCCUCUUCUCUGGCCCUACAAGUCUGCCCCCUGUUUUGCACACACAGUGCCAGGUGCCAAGUUCGAAUUUCUUGAACGCCUGCUCCAGCUGUGUGGGUGUCCUCGUGCCCAGAAGCCUCUGCGGCACUUGCAGGCCGGGCCGCGCUUCUCGAGCCCCACAACGCCCAGGUGGCCCCAUUCCCAAGGGCCUGCGUGUUGGCCGCAGCGGCGCCCUUCGCGCUCCCCAUCCUAG